rnacentral:rRNA from 1 species
GACGAACGCUGGCGGCGUGCUUAACACAUGCAAGUCGAACGAUGAAGCCUAGCUUGCUAGGUGGAUUAGUGGCGAACGGGUGAGUAAUACGUGAGUGACCUACCUUUGACUCUGGGAUAAGCCUGGGAAACUGGGUCUAAUACCGGAUACGACCAAUCUCCGCAUGGGGUGUUGGUGGAAAGCGUUAUGGAGUGGUUUUAGAUGGGCUCACGGCCUAUCAGCUUGUUGGUGAGGUAAUGGCUUACCAAGGCGACGACGGGUAGCCGGCCUGAGAGGGUGACCGGCCACACUGGGACUGAGACACGGCCCAGACUCCUACGGGAGGCAGCAGUGGGGAAUAUUGCACAAUGGGCGCAAGCCCGAUGCAGCGACGCCGCGUGAGGGAUGACGGCCUUCGGGUUGUAAACCUCUGUUAGCAUCGAAGAAGCGAAAGUGACGGUAGGUGCAGAGAAAGCGCCGGCUAACUACGUGCCAGCAGCCGCGGUAAUACGUAGGGCGCGAGCGUUGUCCGGAAUUAUUGGGCGUAAAGAGUUUGUAGGCGGUUGGUCGCGUCUGCUGUGAAGGCUGGGGCUUAACCCUGGUUUUGCAGUGGGUACGGGCUAACUAGAGUGCAGUAGGGGAGACUGGAAUUCCUGGUGUAGCGGUGGAAUGCGCAGAUAUCAGGAGGAACACCGAUGGCGAAGGCAGGUCUCUGGGCUGUAACUGACGCUGAGAAGCGAAAGCAUGGGGAGCGAACAGGAUUAGAUACCCUGGUAGUCCAUGCCGUAAACGUUGGGCACUAGGUGUGGGGGACAUUCCACGUUUUCCGCGCCGUAGCUAACGCAUUAAGUGCCCCGCCUGGGGAGUACGGCCGCAAGGCUAAAACUCAAAGAAAUUGACGGGGGCCCGCACAAGCGGCGGAGCAUGCGGAUUAAUUCGAUGCAACGCGAAGAACCUUACCAAGGCUUGACAUAUACUGGACUGCGUCAGAGAUGGCGUUUCCCUUCGGGGCUGGUAUACAGGUGGUGCAUGGUUGUCGUCAGCUCGUGUCGUGAGAUGUUGGGUUAAGUCCCGCAACGAGCGCAACCCUCGUUCUAUGUUGCCAGCACGUGAUGGUGGGGACUCAUAGGAGACUGCCGGGGUCAACUCGGAGGAAGGUGGGGAUGACGUCAAAUCAUCAUGCCCCUUAUGUCUUGGGCUUCACGCAUGCUACAAUGGCCGGUACAGAGGGUUGCGAUACUGUGAGGUGGAGCUAAUCCCUAAAAGCCGGUCUCAGUUCGGAUUGGGGUCUGCAACUCGACCCCAUGAAGUCGGAGUCGCUAGUAAUCGCAGAUCAGCAACGCUGCGGUGAAUACGUUCCCGGGCCU